AAAAAGUUUCAAGCAGGCAGAUCCAUUUUCUGCCACCGAAUACAUUAGCAUGGGAUAAUGGAAUAGGACCCUGUCCUCCUAUUUUCAGUUGGUUUUGGCAGCGCGAGGACUAGGGUAAUGAUUAAUAGGGAUAGUUGGGGGCAUUAAUAUUUAAUUGUCAGAGGUGAAAUUCUUGGAUUUAUGAAAGAUUAACUUCUGCGAAAGCAUCUGCCAAGGAUGUUUUCAUUAAUCAAGAACGAAAGUUAGGGGAUCGAAGACGAUCAGAUACCGUCGUAGUCUUAACCAUAAACGAUGCCGACCAGCGAUUAGGAGACGUUGAAUACAAAACACCACCAUCGGUGCGGUCGUCCUUGGCGUCGGUCUUUCGGGGCCGGCGCGGGGGCGGCUUAGCCCGGUGGCACCGGUGAAUGACUCCCCUAGCGCCUUGGUGAGAAAGGAAGAAAAAGGAGGUAG
rnacentral:rRNA from 1 species